UGCUAUGUGGUACAAUGGUUGGGGUGUUGGACUAUGACUCUAGAGACCAGGGUUCAAUCCCCAGCUUGACCA